GCCAAAGGUGAAGUUAACAAUAGACUCUGUAGUAUUUAGAUUAUUAUUGUCAAAGUAGAUCUUUGCAUUCUCCUCCCACAAACGACAGAUGAAGUUCAGAGAUCGACCUGGGUUUUUUUUAUUCUAAAACAUUGUGUGUGUGCUGUGCACUACCUUUUUGUAGAGAUAAAUAAACAGCAGGGGGUAGACACAAAAUUCUGUUAUAAAUCAGUUGCUAGGCAGGUCUUAUUGAUCGCGAGAGGUAUGUAUUGAGUAACGCAUCUAGUCAAUCCAGUUGGAACCAACAAUGGAUAUCUAUGACGAAUUUCUUUUGCCCUUUAAAUGAUUUUCACGGGACGAUUCAAAACAACUUUUGUGAUCAUAAAAUAAAAAUAAGAAAAAUUAUAUUCUUCUUCUUCUUCUCAAAAUAGGGGGAGUUUCUGUGAGGAUGAUGGAAGAAGAAAAAAAUUUGUUCCUGACGUCAGUUUUUCCUGGAAAAGCCUUCACUUUUCAUCCUCCCCUAUUUCUCUCUCUAGCUAGCUAGCUAGCUAGUGGGCGCACAGCUCCGGAACACGUAUAUACACACAUAAAAGAGGAAUCGUGGUUGGGAUGCGUACAUCGUCUACCACAAGCCCUAUCAAUUGAGGGGCGAGAACCGGUGAUGGAACCAGUCAAUACCCAAAACCCCGUCUAGAAAAAGAAAGAAAAGCUGCUGAAGGCCUUUUUCCCUUCUUACACGGUAA